CAUGCAAGUCGAACGGUGAAGGCGGAGCUUGCUCUGCUGGAUCAGUGGCGAACGGGUGAGUAACACGUGAGCAAUCUGCCCCUGACUCUGGGAUAAGCGCUGGAAACGGCGUCUAAUACUGGAUACGAGCUGCGAAGGCAUCUUCAGCAGCUGGAAAGAAUUUCGGUCAGGGAUGAGCUCGCGGCCUAUCAGCUUGUUGGUGAGGUAAUGGCUCACCAAGGCGUCSACGGGUAGCCGGCCUGAGAGGGUGACCGGCCACACUGGGACUGAGACACGGCCCAGACUCCUACGGGAGGCAGCAGUGGGGAAUAUUGCACAAUGGGCGAAAGCCUGAUGCAGCAACGCCGCGUGAGGGACGACGGCCUUCGGGUUGUAAACCUCUUUUAGCAGGGAAGAAGCGAAAGUGACGGUACCUGCAGAAAAAGCGCCGGCUAACUACGUGCCAGCAGCCGCGGUAAUACGUAGGGCGCAAGCGUUAUCCGGAAUUAUUGGGCGUAAAGAGCUCGUAGGCGGUUUGUCGCGUCUGCUGUGAAACCCCGAGGCUCAACCUCGGGCCUGCAGUGGGUACGGGCAGACUAGAGUGCGGUAGAGGAGAUUGGAAUUCCUGGUGUAGCGGUGGAAUGCGCAGAUAUCAGGAGGAACACCGAUGGCGAAGGCAGAUCUCUGGGCCGUAACUGACGCUGAGGAGCGAAAGGGUGGGGAGCAAACAGGCUUAGAUACCCUGGUAGUCCACCCCGUAAACGUUGGGAACUAGUUGUGGGGUCCAUUCCACGGAUUCCGUGACGCAGCUAACGCAUUAAGUUCCCCGCCUGGGGAGUACGGCCGCAAGGUUAAAACUCAAAUGAAUUGACGGGGACCCGCACAAGCGGGGGAGCAUGCGGUUUAUUUCGAUGCAACGCGGAAAAACCUUACCAAGGCUUGACAUAUACAAAAACGGGCCAGAAAAGGUCAAUUCUUUGGACACUCGAAAACAGGUGGUGCAUGGUUGUCGUCAGCUCGUGUCGUGAGAUGUUGGGUUAAGUCCCGCAACGAGCGCAACCCUCGUUCUAUGUUGCCAGCACGUCAUGGUGGGAACUCAUGAAUACUGCCGGGGUCAACUCGAAGAAAGGUGGGGAUGACGUCAAAUCAUCAUGCCCCUUAUGACUGGGGCUACACGCAUGCUAAAUGGCCGGUACAAAG
rnacentral:rRNA from 1 species